rnacentral:rRNA from 1 species
UACGGAGGGGACUAGCGUUGUUCGGAAUUACUGGGCGUAAAGCGCACGUAGGCGGAUUUGUAAGUCAGGGGUGAAAUCCCGAGGCUCAACCUCGGAACUGCCUUUGAUACUGCAAAUCUCGAGUCCGGAAGAGGUGAGUGGAAUUCCUAGUGUAGAGGUGAAAUUCGUAGAUAUUCGCAAGAACACCAGUGGCGAAGGCGGCUCACUGGUCCGGUACUGACGCUGAGGUGCGAAAGCGUGGGGAGCGAACAGG